GACUCCAGCUCCCGCAGCCCCCCCAAACCCCCACGUGGCACACUUUAACUUUCCUCUCCCUACUAAGGGUGCCAUCCCAGACCCCCGUCCCCACCCCCUGCUUAACACAUGAAUACCGGACGCAGCCAAAGAUCACUCCCGGGACGCGGACCAAUAGCUACACUUGGGGCGAGCAGCACUCCGCCACAUGAUCUGCAGCGUGCGGAUGGGAGAUGGUUGUGUGAUGCCCAGAGUGAAUCGCUACUCUCCAACAUAAGAGACAAGAGGUCACCUUGGGAUGUGCGUGUCAGCAAGGAUGAUGAAGGAGGAGGAAGGAGGAGGAUGGCUGCCUGAGAACUGGCCGCCUAGCGGAUCAAGUUAUGAUUGAAGAACGCAAGGCAGGACUUGACAAAGGAAGGAGGGAAGAAAUGAACAACAUACCUACUUGACCUUCAUCUUGGCCAUCACCAAAGCCAAUUCUGGAAGAGCCACCAUGUUUUCGAAUUUGCCAGAACGUUUACUCAGCAGCCUGAAGAGUAACCGUGGGCCCACUGUGCUUGGUGGAAGGUAUCGUCUCCUGUAUUUGUGGCCUCUUCCUCCUCCUCCUGCAGAAAGGCAGGGAAAGAUGGGAUUUACUUGAUGCUAAGCUCAAGAACCCCAAGAUGGUGCCCUCCUGUUCGAAUUAGCCUUGAUCAGAACUUGGUCCCAUCAUACGGCUGGUGCAGUUGAGGAACAAAACCCAGAGUUACAGCAUCAGCUGCCCUUUUCUGCCUUUGUUCUCCUCAGUUGGUUGAGAAUGAUGCUCUCCUCUGAACUGAACACAUCAAGUAUCCUUAUGUAAAUUCUAAAAGACGGGUAUUUUUACUAAGUCUUCUGAGGCUUGGUGUCUGUUGUAGCUAAGGCUGGCCCAGAU